UACGAGUGGUGCAAGCGUUAUUCGGAAUCAUUGGGCGUAAAGGGUGUGUAGACGGCAUUUUAAGUCAACUGUUUAAUUCUCCAGCCUAACUGGAGGUCAGCGGUAGAAACUGAUGUGCUAGAGGGUGGAAGAGAGAAGUGGAAUUCUCGGAGUAGCGGUAAAAUGCGUAGAUCUCGAGAGGAACACCAAUGGCGAAGGCAGCUUCUUGGUCCACUCCUGACGUUGAAACACGAAAGCGUGGGGAGCAAACAGGAUUAGAUACCCUGGUAGUCCACGCUGUAAACGAUGAUCACUAGACGUUAGUUCCGUUUUACGGAAUUAGUGUCGUAGCUAACGCGUUAAGUGAUCCGCCUGGGGACUACGGUCGCAAGAUUAAA
rnacentral:rRNA from 1 species